GGCAUAGCUCAGUUGGUAGAGCUCCUGUUUUGUAAACAGGAGGUCGUGGGUUCGAAACCUACUGCCAG
rnacentral:tRNA from 1 species